GUCGAGAAUCUUUCACAAUGGGGGAAACCCUGAUGGAGCGACGCCGCGUGGGGGAUGAAUGGCUUCGGCCCGUAAACCCCUGUCAUCUGCGAUCAAACCUUUUCGGUGAACAGCCGAAAAGCUGAUAGUAGUAGAAGAGGAAGGGACGGCUAACUCUGUGCCAGCAGCCGCGGUAAUACAGAGGUCCCAAGCGUUGUUCGGAUUUACUGGGCGUAAAGGGUGCGUAGGUGGCGGAGCAAGUUUGAUGUGAAAUCUCUGAGCUCAACUCAGAAACGGCAUUGAAUACUGCUUUGCUCGAGGGUUGGAGGGGGGACUGGAAUUCUCGGUGUAGCGGUGAAAUGCGUAGAUAUCGAGAGGAACACCAGUGGCGAAGGCGAGUCCCUGGACAACUCCUGACACUGAGGCACGAAAGCUAGGGGAGCAAACAGGAUUAGAUACCCCAGUAGUCC
rnacentral:rRNA from 1 species